AAGCGUUCAAUACAGCGCGUUCCGGGCGCCACAAACACGCAUGCGCCACGUGUGCGUGCGUGUGUGUGCGUGCGCGUGUACGUGGGUGCGUGCGUGCGUUCUCAAAGCGGAGGAGGGCGCACCCCAAACGCACGCUCUUCCCCACGAGCGCAUUCACAGUCGCGUGCGGCGGCGGUGGCGGCAGCCGCACACCAACAUCAUCAUCAUCAUCAGGACCAUCAUCAUCAGGACCAUCAUCAUCAGCACCAUCAUUAUCAACACCAGCAGCAGCAGCAGCAUCAUCAUCACUGUGAGCACGCGGCGCGCGGCGUAAGAGACGCAGGGCCGUGUAUCGGCGAUGGAGUCGCGCUAACGGAGAACACCCUUCCAGCGGAGACAGGGGAGACACGCGCGGAGAGCGGAGGAGGGAGGGGAGGGGGGAGCAGCUGGAGACGGCGGGACGGGGACAGCGAGGGAGGAUGCAGCGCAGAAAUGCCUACAGACCCGGAGCCCAAUCUCUGUGACAAGGCGCUCACCAUCGUGGCCGAGCUGUGCUUCAAGGGGGUCGUGUUGCCCGAGCGCUGCCAGGACUUCGCCCCUGUCCUCCCGGACGACAGGUUCCACUACCGCCAGGAGGGCGCAGACGUGUCGGUGAGCCUUCUGGCCGUGGUGGUGACGCUAUGUGGCGUGGCGCUGCUGGGGGUGUCCCUGUUCGUCUCGUGGAAGCUCUGCUGGGUUCCAUGCCGGGACCGCGAGCGGGAGGCGAGGGCCGCGGCGGCCGGAGCUGCGCGCUCGGCGCCCUACUUGCCGCAACAGCUGCUGGGCGCCGCGCCCGCUCUCGACGUCAACGGCCUGGAGUACGAGAAAGCUCCUCGUGCCGACGACUCCAUCGUGGGAGGGCCUCAGCAGCAGCAGCAGCAGCCGCCGCUGCAGCAGCCGCUGGUUCUGCAGCAGCAACCGGCACAGCAGCCGGUGCAGCAGCAGCAGCAGCAGCAGCAUUCGACGGAGCCAGAGCUACAAGCACCCGCCGAGGCCAUGGUCCGGAUGAGCCACACGUCUCCAGAUAUCCAUGCGAGCGGGAGAGACAGCAACCCCGUGGGACAGCAGCAGCAGCUGCUGCCUUUGCAGCCGUUGCAACAGCAGCCGCAGCCGCUGCCGCUUCCGCAGCAGCAGCAGCAGCCCACGCCGCAGUGCCCACAGCCGCAGCAGCGCGCGGUGCAGCGGCAAGGGACGGACCAGUCAAACUCGUCACGUCCCAGCUCCAUCCGCACGCUGCUCAACCGAUCCUCCCGGAGCGGCUCGGAAAAAACUGCUGCGGGUGGUGCCAGUGACGGCGCGGCCGUCCCGCAGACCAACACGCUGGGCCGCAUCAAACCCGAGCUCUACAAGGCGCGCCCCUCCGUGCCGGCCGUGGGGUCCGUGGCGGGGGGGAUCGGCGGGGGAGUCGUCGGGAUCGGCGGAGGAGUCGGCGGGCUUGCCGGCGUCGGCGUCGGCGGCGUCUGCGUGGAGGAGGCCGGCACGCAGCUCGUCCCGGCGGCCGGCGUCGGGGACGCGGGGAUCGUCGGAAUGGGUGGCGGCGUCGGCGACGACGCGGAUCCGUGCGAGUCGGGCGACAUGAAGGCGCCUCCGUGCGGCCGCAUCAACUUCCAGGUGCGCUACGACUACGAGGGCGAGCAGCUGGUGGUGAAGAUCAACAAGGCGGUGGACCUGCCCGCCAAGGACUUCUCGGGCACGUCGGACCCCUACGUGAAGAUCUACUUGCUGCCCGAGCGCAAGCGCAAGUACCAGACCAAGGUGCACCGCAAGACGCUCAACCCCGUGUUCGACGAGACCUUCCAGUUCGGCGUGCCCUACAGCGAGCUGGCGAGCCGCCGGCUGCACUUCAGCGUCUACGACUUCGACCGCUUCUCACGGCACGACAUCAUUGGCACGGUGCUGGUGGACAACCUCCUGGAGGCCACGGACCACUCGCGCGAGACGUCCAUCUGGCGCGACAUCGAGUUCUCCAGCACGGAGAAGGUGGACCUCGGGGAGUUGAUGUUCUCACUGUGCUACCUCCCCACGGCCGGGAGACUCACGCUCACCGUCAUCAAGGCUCGCAACCUGAAGGCCAUGGACAUCACGGGGGCCUCAGACCCCUACGUGAAGGUGUCACUCAUGUGCUCGGGCCGGCGUCUCAAGAAGCGGAAGACGUCGACCAAGCGCAACACCCUCAACCCCGUCUACAACGAGGAGAUCGUGUUCGACAUCCCGCCCGAGAACAUGGACCAGGUCAACCUCAUCAUCGCCGUCGUCGACUACGACCGGGUGGGCCACAACGAGGUGAUCGGCGUGUGCUGGGUGGGCGGAGAGGCGGAGGGGAUGGGCCGCGAUCACUGGAACGAGAUGCUGGCGUACCCGCGCAAGCCCAUCGCUCACUGGCACCUCCUGGCAGAGAACCACCUCUAGAUCCCACCAAACUCCGUCGUCACUCUGCGUCACGUCAAGAGGUUUUUGCGGCUGGCCGGGUCGGGUGCACCCCUGCCCUCCGCGUCGCCGUGGCCCGGAGAGCGAUCAGGGGCCACGCCCAGUGGUACCACCGGCCCACAGUCAGCUUCAACGGCCGGGGUCUCCUGAAACCCACGAGCAGCUCGUCAACUCCCUGCCUCGGCUGCCUCCACCGCCGCUCUGCUGGCCGCGCCGGGACCGCCGUGCGUGCCGUGACGGCCGCGCACAGGCGGCGUCGACGCGACGAUCUUUCCCCGCGCCACUGUUGGCUCCGUCGCAUCGGCGGUUCAGCGCGGCUGAAGGCACGGGGCUCCGAUCCAAGGGCUGACGAUGCGGUGAUCAGUGGCGUGACGCGGUCGGCAUGGGCCCCGGUGCAAGGAAUUAAAUGGGACUCGCGCCGCCCAGCGUUGCUAGCCCCUUCUUCGUAGCCUUCCUUGCGCCCCCCUCCCUCUUCCCAGUAGCUACGCCACUGAUUCUGACCCCGAAUGCAUCGCUGCUGCUGCUGCUCACGGAUUUCAUCGCUGCUGCUGCUGCUGAUCAGGGUGAGCAGCAGACUUCAGCCGACGACCGCCUCCUCUCAUGCGGUCAAUGACGAACGCGUUUCUUCCUGUGGCUCUGAACUCCGAACCCUGAAGUGUCGCGAGAGCACGCGGCGGCGGCCGUCUCAUCUGGCGCCAGACUCGAGAACCAAUCGAUUUACUCUCGAUUUAUUUAUUGAUCCGGUCACAGCUGCUGGACAGACGGAUGCUCCCGCGCCGAGACCCAUUGACGCUUCAUCCCAAACUUCCACAGCCAUCCCCGAAUGGCUUCGUCUGUUAGCCCAGCGAGGCAGGCAGAUGGCUAACCCAGUCAGGUCAGACAGCCGGUCACUUACACUUAGUAACAACGGUAAGCAGGGUGACGGGCGGGCGGGCCUCCCGUCGCAAGAGGGAGCAUUGCUUUGCCACUUAAAGCAAUAUUCUGUAAACUACAAAGUCCACCGAGGGUCAAGAUAAAGAGAAAAAUGGUAUAAUAUAAAUACGUGUAUAUAAUUUGUACACCUGUCCAGCGAGAAGUUUAGUGUUUACCGCAUGAAUGAGCUAAAUAAUAUGACGUUGAGUAUUCUGUAUUUAUUUUUUCUCCCCUCCGCCCCCCCCGAUCCUGGGAAAGAUAAAUAAAUCGUGCGUCAUGUUUCAUUCAUUGGCACCCCCCCACGCCGUGUUCCGUCCGGGCGUUAGGCCGCGGUCUGCGUCUGGAACCCCUCCGUGUCUUGUGGCGACGUUGUGCACGUGGAACUCUCGUCGGUGUUUCGAUUGCAGUCCGCCCAGUGUCGUCAUCAUCAUCGUCGUCAUCGUCGUCGUCGUCGUCAUCAUCGCUCCCGCGUCGCCCAGCGCCAGCGUCGUGGUCGCUGCGAAGCGCCGCGUGCUGCUGGCGGCGGCUUCCCCGCGGCGAGGGAGGGGGCCGGCUGGGACACGGCCGGGAGUUCUGCCGGAACGUGCCUCUCGACUCGAGAGUUUGGUGUCAAAGCGUGCGUAUCCGUACUGCGGAGAGAAGAUGGGGAGUUGGUUGUAGAAAGGGGGACAGUGGCAGGGUGGGUGGUAAGAGGGUGCUGUAGGUGGUGCUGGUGUUGACACCCGUUGUCACACAAGUAGCGCUGAAUGAUAAUAUUUUCUCAUUUAGUCGACAAAGCCACAAGGAAACUCAAUACUCUUCAAAAGAGGGUCUUGCUCCCAUUUGGAUGUUUCGUGAGGAGCGUUUCGUUGUCUUGUGGGGGAGAAACCAGAAUUCGCAGACACGUCCAUUCGUGUGUGUGUGCAGUAGCUAAAGAGAUGGCGGUAUAGAAUGUAAGACAAUAUCAUGUGUAAUUAAAAUUACACGAUUUCAAUGGCCAGCUACACUCGUGUGCAUCUGCACGGCCGCUCGCGCUGCCGAAGAGUUCAGGGGCAGUACAAUUACAACAGCAGGACGGUUGUGUACCCCAUUGGCGACAGACUUCACAGACGCCUCUGGAGAGUCACGACGAACGGGGCACGCUCCUGCACCACAGGGAUAGCGGCGCAAUGAUCAGGAGGACGAAGGAGAAUUAGACGUCGUCGUUUCUUGGCGGUGUCUGCUCCUUGAUGCCAUGGCUGGAGGAUUAUGAGCUGAUGGCUUUAGGUGAGUAUGUUAUAAUGGAGGGGGGGUUGUUCAUACUUCACCAUCGCUGGUCAGUGGCUCGCUGGGAAAGCAUUCAGGCGCGGCGCUCGCCAGCUACGCCGCCACCGCCGCCGCCGCUUGACAGCGAGACGAGAGAGAUCGCUCACAGAGAGCCCCCACCUGGGCUUCGUCAUUACAACCUCAAGAUCACUUAAAGAACUCAUUACAUUCCUCGGAGAUGAUACCGCAGGCUGCUAAUUUGCGAGUCAGAUGAAAUUAUGCCGGACGGGUGCACGCGGGGCCCAGCUGCUGAGUCCUGUGCGGUUCCCACCCGCUCCACCCCCUCCACUCUCUCCCUCCACUCCCUCCCUUCCCCCCUCCACUCCCACCUUCCACUCCACCCCCUC